rnacentral:rRNA from 1 species
GACGAACGCUGGCGGCGUGCUUAACACAUGCAAGUCGAGCGGUAAGGCCCUUUCGGGGGUACACGAGCGGCGAACGGGUGAGUAACGCGUGGGUGACCUGCCCUCAGCUCUGGGAUAAGCCUGGGAAACUGGGUCUAAUACUGGAUAUGACUCCACGGUGCAUGUCGUGGGGUGGAAAGCCUUGUGCGGCUGAGGAUGGGCCCGCGGCCUAUCAGCUUGUUGGG